CAAACAAAUAUUAAGAACAAAGUAGUAUAGAUCAUGACACAAUAUUACUGGGCAGUACUGACUAAUCGCCGUGCCAGCAGUCGCGGUAAAACGGCUAGUACGAACGUUACACCUCAUUAAUAGGCAUAAAGGGUUCGUAGGCAGCUUUUUCAUAUUUUAUAAGAGAUUGAUAGAAUUUAAUAGAGGAUAUUACAAAACUGUGAUGAGGGUGUAAAUCCUAAAACUCAUAGUAGAGUGUUAAGGGCGAAGGCAAAUAUCCGGCUAUAAUUGACGCUGAGGAACUAAGGUUUGGAGAGGAAACAGGAUUAGAGACCCAGGUACUCCUUACAGUCAACGAUGAAUGCUAGAUGUUAGUAAUUAAUAUUGAUGUCGAUGUGAAAAAAACGUUAAGCAUUCCGCCUUGGUAGUAUACUUGCAAAAGUGAAAUCAAAAAAAUUAGUCGGUCUCGAAGCAAACGAAGUGAAGCAUGUUGUUCAAUACGAUAACCCG
rnacentral:rRNA from 1 species